UGGGUUGGGACAAAGAAAGACUAGGAUAACCAAGGCUGAAGAUCUAGGGACCUAGUGGAACAGGGAGAUAGAUGAUUUCUUUCCCCAAAAAGGUGAGCUCCUGCCUAUUAAUUUAGGAAGCAGAGUAGGAGUUUCUGGAGAACAUUCGGGCUGUGCUGGGCUCAGUAUCCAGAGGUUACAGUGUGUCUGUAAUCAUUAGGGGCAGAGAAGCCAAGCAACUGGAUCUGGUUCCUCAGGUGAGGAUCUAGAAUCCACUUUGCCUUACCAUAUAGUCUAGGUUUGUUUGAACUCCGAAACAAUCUUUUCUCUCAUCCCCACUCCACCCCUACCCUAAUAAUUUCCAGCUGCUGGCACUGCUGUUUGAGGAAACUCAACUCCAAAGUGCUUCUGAAACUUCCCUCUGGACCCUAAGUCUAGUGCAGAUGAAAAGAGCUCAAAAGUGAUUUUCAGGAAUUGAGGAGUCCUGCAAAGAAUUCUCCAGGAUUUGGAAGAUUUUUAUGGGUUCUGCACAGACUUAUCCCUUGUACUUUCAAACCCUUCUCUUUAACUCAUUUCUACCGGGAGGGAUCAAGACUUAUUAUUAUCUGGAACUAGCGACCUGAAUUUCCUGGAUGUGUCCCCACUGGGUCUGUAAGUAUGCUACUUUGUCCAGGAUGUGAAUAUCUUUUCUUAGUACUGCUCUCCCUUCCUUCCCAGAGUUACACAGCUAAGAAGUGUCUGAGGUCACAUUUGAACUCAGGGCCUUCUGACUUCGGAGCUGAUGCUCUAUCCACUGUACAGCUAUCCUAUUCAGGUUUAGUCUGUCUAUGUGACUAUGGGUUACCUGCUCAUUUUGUUCUUAUGUCUGGGAUUUAAUGCUUUGAAGGGUCCUGUGGCAGAGGGACGGAGUCCAGAAAUGGUCCAAACUUAUAUUUUUCCCCUUUUUUCUCAGGGUAGCAGAAGGAACGAGUGAAGCAGAGAUCCUAGAUUCCAAGUCUGGCUGCCAACUUUAUUUCAGGGCAAGUGGAAGGCUUGGUUAGGUAUAUGAACCUGUAGACUCUGGCAGAAAGGAUGAGGGAAGGAGAUACAAACUUAGAAUCUAAGAAGAAAUGCCCCGAACUUAACCAUCUUCUCUUCCAGGGCCUGCUCCCUUCUUUUUUUUUUUUUUUUUUUUUUUUUGCCUGCUCCCUUCUUAUCUUGAUGAUAUCCUGCCUGGGGCCCAGCACCAUAAAGAGGCCUGGGCCAGAGGCAUGUGGCAGGGCUCAUUGAGAGUCCUUCAGCUUCCAGAAGCUCCGUGAGUCCAACUUGGGGUGAAGCCCAGGGCAGCAGUUUGAGGGUUCCACAUAAGGGGCAGUUAUUCCCCCUAACCCAUAACAAGGACCUAAGCUGUGCCUGACCUUAGCCGUCACUCUUUGUAGCAACUGCCCCUUAUUGCUGGUACUGGCAGGGAAGGCUUCCAAGGCCCAUACCGGCUCCUUGCCUUGGAUCAUGACUCAGUUGCUCUUUGGAAAUAGUUACAACAGCCUGUUGCUUCACUUGGAUUUCUGAGGUAUGAAGGAGGGAAGGAAGGGACAGAAAAAAAGACAGGAAAUGAGACUUAAUCCUUUCUGGGGAGAGUCACCAGGAAGUUCAUCUCCCAAAUCCUGCUUCGGCCUCUGCAUUGGCUCCUCAUCUAGGCUUCUUACUCAGGGCUAGUCUGGUGGAAAGAGGCUGCUCAGUGUGAUUCUUGGCUUGAGAGGUUGGGAGGAGGGGACAGGAUUAUUCUUUGACUAUAUCAAAGCCCCACACUCCCCCCCCCCCCCUCACCUAAAGUGGCCCCACUGCCUGCCUGUUUUCUUUGGCAGGUGUCCCCUUGGGUCUGCUCCUGGCCUCGCUAGCAGGGGCCAAAGGAGUUUGGGACCCCCGCCAGGAGAAGCAGAUUUCUCCCACACUGUGGGAUGCUUUGGAAGAAAUCCACACCCGCUAUGCCACUGUUCAGGACCUGUGUUCUGGGCUCUCUGGAACGGCUCUACAGGAGAGCCAGCUUACUCAGCUGAGCCUGGUGCUCAGGGAAUUAAAGCCGGAGCUGGGAGACCAGGAUGCUCAAGGGAGUUGGAGCUUCUGUAACCAGGCUUCCAAACCUGCAGGUGAACUAGAAGAGACCUUUCCCCCUGUUUUCAAGAAGCAUCUUCAAGGUGAGUUUCAGGUCUACAUCCCAGACACUAUUUCCUUGGAAUUCCUCAGCUUGUCUAUCUUUGUCUAGAAUAAAAAUAUUUCUCUUUGGCAGCAGGUACUUCAGAAACUCUGGACCUGGGAAGGAAGUCACCCCUGCCAGCAGCAGGGGCUCCUUUUGGGGGCUCCAAAAAACAGACACCUAAAAUAUGAUGGAUCCCAGAUUAAAUACCCUUGUUCUAAGGGAGAGGAAAAUGGAACUUGGUCAAAUGAAAGACUAGGAUGUAAGUCCUCCUAGUCCUGUCUCACAGGCCUCUGAUGUGGCCCUGCAGUUUAUGUUAGCUUGGGCCCACGGGCAGCUGCUUCAGGAACAUCACCGAUCCCAGAUCCAAGAGGAGCUGAGCUGGUUGGGACAGGACAAGGAAACAGCAACACAUCAGG
ensembl:lncRNA